GGAGGAAGUUUUCGUAAUUUCGUAUGGUGAUAGCGCGGUCCUCGUUGGCGGAACCCUAAUUUCGAACUGUCAGAUGAAGCGAUGCAAGAUCGAUGUCAAUGGUGCCUAUGGAUCGUCGCAUUUUCUCGUCGGUUCUACAUUUUAUUGUUCUAAUGAAUCGCUAAAAGGCCGAUCUUUUCUCCUAGAAUGGGCCAUUUUGGAGCUCGAUGAUGAUUUAUUUUGCUUUAACCACACCGAAACUGAAGCCAGAAGAGGAGAGUCCUCUUCCUGCGGUUUCCCGGUUUUGUUGAUCCCUUUCUUGGCGGUGCUCGGGGAUCUCCGUCCUCUUCUCGGUGCGAAAGGGGAAAUCUCCCCUUGGAGGAUGCUCUCUUCCCCGCCCCGAAGAGGGAGGUGCGAGGGCUUCGGUAAGAUUGCCAUCAAUUGGGUUCCUUCGGGAGAGAUGAUCCUCUUUUGGAACUUCUCGUCUGUGGAAAACAUUGGCCAUAUCACUGAGAGCUCAAAUUUGCAUUUUUAUUUUCCUUAUUUUCCUCCUCUGGUCGAAGUUUUCGAUGAUUGCUGUUUAAUCACAUUUUUUUAUUCAAAAUUUAGGAAUUUUAGUU